rnacentral:rRNA from 2 species
UGAACGACUCUCGGCAACGGAUAUCUCGGCUCUCGCAUCGAUGAAGAACGUAGCGAAAUGCGAUACUUGGUGUGAAUUGCAGAAUCCCGUGAACCAUCGAGUCUUUGAACGCAAGUUGCGCCCGAAGCCUUCGGGCCAAGGGCACGUCUGCCUGGGCGUCACGC